rnacentral:rRNA from 1 species
CCAGAGCCUGAAUCAGUGUGUGUGUUAGUGGAAGCGUCUGGAAAGGCGCGCGAUACAGGGUGACAGCCCCGUACACAAAAAUGCACAUGCUGUGAGCUCGAUGAGUAGGGCGGGACACGUGGUAUCCUGUCUGAAUAUGGGGGGACCAUCCUCCAAGGCUAAAUACUCCUGACUGACCGAUAGUGAACCAGUACCGUGAGGGAAAGGCGAAAAGAACCCCGGCGAGGGGAGUGAAAAAGAACCUGAAACCGUGUACGUACAAGCAGUGGGAGCACGCUUAGGCGUGUGACUGCGUACCUUUUGUAUAAUGGGUCAGCGACUUAUAUUCUGUAGCAAGGUUAACCGAAUAGGGGAGCCGAAGGGAAACCGAGUCUUAACUGGGCGUUAAGUUGCAGGGUAUAGACCCGAAACCCGGUGAUCUAGCCAUGGGCAGGUUGAAGGUUGGGUAACACUAACUGGAGGACCGAACCGACUAAUGUUGAAAAAUUAGCGGAUGACUUGUGGCUGGGGGUGAAAGGCCAAUCAAACCGGGAGAUAGCUGGUUCUCCCCGAAAGCUAUUUAGGUAGCGCCUCGUGAAUUCAUCUCCGGGGGUAGAGCACUGUUUCGGCAAGGGGGUCAUCCCGACUUACCAACCCGAUGCAAACUGCGAAUACCGGAGAAUGUUAUCACGGGAGACACACGGCGGGUGCUAACGUCCGUCGUGAAGAGGGAAACAACCCAGACCGCCAGCUAAGGUCCCAAAGUCAUGGUUAAGUGGGAAACGAUGUGGGAAGGCCCAGACAGCCAGGAUGUUGGCUUAGAAGCAGCCAUCAUUUAAAGAAAGCGUAAUAGCUCACUGGUCGAGUCGGCCUGCGCGGAAGAUGUAACGGGGCUAAACCAUGCACCGAAGCUGCGGCAGCGACGCUUAUGCGUUGUUGGGUAGGGGAGCGUUCUGUAAGCCUGUGAAGGUGUGCUGUGAGGCAUGCUGGAGGUAUCAGAAGUGCGAAUGCUGACAUAAGUAACGAUAAAGCGGGUGAAAAGCCCGCUCGCCGGAAGACCAAGGGUUCCUGUCCAACGUUAAUCGGGGCAGGGUGAGUCGACCCCUAAGGCGAGGCCGAAAGGCGUAGUCGAUGGGAAACAGGUUAAUAUUCCUGUACUUGGUGUUACUGCGAAGGGGGGACGGAGAAGGCUAUGUUGGCCGGGCGACGGUUGUCCCGGUUUAAGCGUGUAGGCUGGUUUUCCAGGCAAAUCCGGAAAAUCAAGGCUGAGGCGUGAUGACGAGGCACUACGGUGCUGAAGCAACAAAUGCCCUGCUUCCAGGAAAAGCCUCUAAGCAUCAGGUAACAUCAAAUCGUACCCCAAACCGACACAGGUGGUCAGGUAGAGAAUACCAAGGCGCUUGAGAGAACUCGGGUGAAGGAACUAGGCAAAAUGGUGCCGUAACUUCGGGAGAAGGCACGCUGAUAUGUAGGUGAAGUCCCUCGCGGAUGGAGCUGAAAUCAGUCGAAGAUACCAGCUGGCUGCAACUGUUUAUUAAAAACACAGCACUGUGCAAACACGAAAGUGGACGUAUACGGUGUGACGCCUGCCCGGUGCCGGAAGGUUAAUUGAUGGGGUCAGCGCAAGCGAAGCUCUUGAUCGAAGCCCCGGUAAACGGCGGCCGUAACUAUAACGGUCCUAAGGUAGCGAAAUUCCUUGUCGGGUAAGUUCCGACCUGCACGAAUGGCGUAAUGAUGGCCAGGCUGUCUCCACCCGAGACUCAGUGAAAUUGAACUCGCUGUGAAGAUGCAGUGUACCCGCGGCAAGACGGAAAGACCCCGUGAACCUUUACUAUAGCUUGACACUGAACAUUGAGCCUUGAUGUGUAGGAUAGGUGGGAGGCUUAGAAGUGUGGACGCCAGUCUGCAUGGAGCCGACCUUGAAAUACCACCCUUUAAUGUUUGAUGUUCUAACGUUGACCCGUAAUCCGGGUUGCGGACAGUGUCUGGUGGGUAGUUUGACUGGGGCGGUCUCCUCCUAAAGAGUAACGGAGGAGCACGAAGGUUGGCUAAUCCUGGUCGGACAUCAGGAGGUUAGUGCAAUGGCAUAAGCCAGCUUGACUGCGAGCGUGACGGCGCGAGCAGGUGCGAAAGCAGGUCAUAGUGAUCCGGUGGUUCUGAAUGGAAGGGCCAUCGCUCAACGGAUAAAAGGUACUCCGGGGAUAACAGGCUGAUACCGCCCAAGAGUUCAUAUCGACGGCGGUGUUUGGCACCUCGAUGUCGGCUCAUCACAUCCUGGGGCUGAAGUAGGUCCCAAGGGUAUGGCUGUUCGCCAUUUAAAGUGGUACGCGAGCUGGGUUUAGAACGUCGUGAGACAGUUCGGUCCCUAUCUGCCGUGGGCGCUGGAGAACUGAGGGGGGCUGCUCCUAGUACGAGAGGACCGGAGUGGACGCAUCACUGGUGUUCGGGUUGUCAUGCCAAUGGCACUGCCCGGUAGCUAAAUGCGGAAGAGAUAAGUGCUGAAAGCAUCUAAGCACGAAACUUGCCCCGAGAUGAGUUCUCCCUGAC